rnacentral:rRNA from 1 species
GACGAACGCUGGCGGCGCGCCUAACACAUGCAAGUCGAACGGAGCUGAGAGAAGCUUGCUUUUCUUAGCUUAUUGGCGAACGGGUGAGUAACGCGUGAGUAACCUGCCCUGGAGUGGGGGACAACAGUUGGAAACGACUGCUAAUACCGCAUAAGCUCACGAUCCGGCAUCGGCUUGAGGUAAAAGGAUUUAUUCGCUUCAGGAUGGACUCGCGUCCAAUUAGCUAGUUGGUGAGGUAACGGCCCACCAAGGCGACGAUUGGUAGCCGGACUGAGAGGUUGAACGGCCACAUUGGGACUGAGACACGGCCCAGAAUCCUACGGGAGGCAGCAGUGGGGGAUAAUGCACAAUGGGGGAAAACCUGAUGCAGCGACGCCGCGUGGAGGAAGAAGGUUUUCGGAUUGUAAAAUCCUGUCGUUAGGGACGAUAAUGAAGGUACCUAACAAGAAAGCACCGGCUAAAUACGUG